CGGUUAAGUUAGAAAGGGCGCACGGUGGAUGCCUUGGCACUAGGAGCCGAUGAAGGACGGGACGAACACCGAUAUGCUUCGGGGAGCUGUAAGCAAGCUUUGAUCCGGAGAUUUCCGAAUGGGGAAACCCACUGCUCGUAAUGGAGCAGUAUCCAUAUCUGAAUUCAUAGGAUAUGAGAAGGCAGACCCGGGGAACUGAAACAUCUAAGUACCCGGAGGAAGAGAAAGCAAAUGCGAUUCCCUGAGUAGCGGCGAGCGAAACGGGAACAGCCCAAACCAAGAGGCUUGCCUCUUGGGGUUGUAGGACACUCUGUACGGAGUUACAAAGGAACGAGGUAGAUGAAGAGGUCUGGAAAGGCCCGCCAUAGGAGGUAACAGCCCUGUAGUCAAAACUUCGUUCUCUCCUGAGUGGAUCCUGAGUACGGCGGAACACGUGAAAUUCCGUCGGAAUCCGGGAGGACCAUCUCCCAAGGCUAAAUACUCCCUAGUGACCGAUAGUGAACCAGUACCGUGAGGGAAAGGUGAAAAGCACCCCGGAAGGGGAGUGAAAGAGAUCCUGAAACCGUGUGCCUACAAGUAGUCAGAGCCCGUUAACGGGUGAUGGCGUGCCUUUUGUAGAAUGAACCGGCGAGUUACGAUCCCGUGCAAGGUUAAGUUUGAAAAGACGGAGCCGCAGCGAAAGCGAGUCUGAAUAGGGCGCAUGAGUACGUGGUCGUAGACCCGAAACCAGGUGAUCUACCCAUGUCCAGGGUGAAGUUCAGGUAACACUGAAUGGAGGCCCGAACCCACGCACGUUGAAAAGUGCGGGGAUGAGGUGUGGGUAGGGGUGAAAUGCCAAUCGAACCUGGAGAUAGCUGGUUCUCUCCGAAAUAGCUUUAGGGCUAGCCUCAAGGUAAGAGUCUUGGAGGUAGAGCACUGAUUGGACUAGGGCCCUACCGGGUUACCGAAUUCAGUCAAACUCCGAAUGCCAAAGACUUAUCCUUGGGAGUCAGACUGCGAGUGAUAAGAUCCGUAGUCGAAAGGGAAACAGCCCAGACCGCCAGCUAAGGUCCCAAAGUAUACGUUAAGUGGAAAAGGAUGUGGAGUUGCUUAGACAACCAGGAUGUUGGCUUAGAAGCAGCCACCAUUUAAAGAGUGCGUAAUAGCUCACUGGUCGAGUGACUCUGCGCCGAAAAUGUACCGGGGCUAAACGUAUCACCGAAGCUGCGGACUGUUCUUACGAACAGUGGUAGGAGAGCGUUCUAAGGGCUGUGAAGCGAGACCGGAAGGACUCGUGGAGCGCUUAGAAGUGAGAAUGCCGGUAUGAGUAGCGAAAGAGGGGUGAGAAUCCCCUCCACCGAAUGCCUAAGGUUUCCUGAGGAAGGCUCGUCCGCUCAGGGUUAGUCGGGACCUAAGCCGAGGCCGAAAGGCGUAGGCGAUGGACAACAGGUUGAUAUUCCUGUACCACCUCCUCACCAUUUGAGCAAUGGGGGGACGCAGGAGGAUAGGGUAAGCGCGGUAUUGGAUAUCCGCGUCCAAGCAGUUAGGCUGGGAAAUAGGCAAAUCCGUUUCCCGUAAGGCUGAGCUGUGAUGGCGAGCGAAAUAUAGUAGCGAAGUUCCUGAUUCCACACUGCCAAGAAAAGCCUCUAGCGAGGUGAGA
rnacentral:rRNA from 1 species